CGUCCUGAUGUGCAGGGAUGAAGAGCGCUGGAGGCAGCAGGACCAACUGGAGACGCUGCUGCCGUCGGUCCAUCAUGACCGCCCAUGCACUGACACACAGAAAGAGGAAAAGACGUUUUGGAGAGGACAAAACAAAACAUACUAUCUGCCAUCUUUUGUCCAUCCGGCUCUGGUGAUGUAUUCAGCACUAGGGAACAGGCUGGUGAAGGGAACAGGCAACUCCUUCUCCUGGGUGCUGACAAUCUGAGGACGAAACAACAAGAAGCUGGCAUUUGAACUUCUCUUGGAAGAACUUCCUGCCAAGAAGUCUACGACAGCAAUCCAUGCCAUCUUCGUGCUCACCUUCACGAGCAGCUGGUGACCACCAGUAUCCAGUGAAACGGUCAAACUCUUCCUGCGUGACAAAAGUGGCAAUACCGGCAGAUUUGGGGUCGUCUUUUGGGUUAUCAAUACCUAAAAUAAAUACAGAAAUAGAAAGCAAAAAUAGAAACACUGUGUGAAAACGUCAAAGUACCAGGUGAGACUCUCCAGGAACUUCUGUGUCAAUCCUGACCUUUGUGGCAGAAGGUAAGCCUCCUCUCUUCCCCCGUCUCAGUGCUGGUCACCCAAAUGUCAUUGUUGUUGAUGAAGCCAAUGAAGUUGGGGUCCCCAGGGCAGAUCUUGGGGUCCAUGCGUGUGCCUGAACUCCGGCUCUUAAUUUCAACAGGGUCCAUGGGAGAAGUCUGCACAGAGAAGUUGAAGGACAUCUGAGGUCACAGCUGCUUUAGUUCUACACUUUAGUCUUGCUGGAGGACCAGAAGACACUUGUUGCCGCGGCUGAGAGCAACACACCAGUGGGCUGAAUGGAGAUGAUGUGUGGCCAGUGCUGGUGGUGGUGGCACACUGGCAGUUGAAUAAAAUCAUGUGGCUAUUACUUUUGUACUUGGAAGAAGUCAUCUCAAGAUAAAUGUAUAUGUGGCCAAAUUGUCAUGAUUCGGGACUAAACCCCAAAUACUCAAACAGGGGCAGAGUCAUUUUCUUUUUUAUUCCCACUACUCAGUCGCCAUCUUUCUCAGCUCGGCUGCCUGUUCAACCAGUAGAGACUGACCUCUGUGAACUACAAUACGUCGCCUCAAUUCAGCAUCUCUGUAUUGGUUUCAUAGAAAGAAGAGGGCCCGUACUUUUGACUAUAUUAAAAAUCACACUGUCUGGAUUUCUAAAUAACCUGGUACAUUGUAACACCUCGAUAGCGUCCAAGUCUAAUAUCAGAGCUGGUAUUGUUUUUAACAUCGCUACUUUCCUGAAAAAAAAUGUAUCUCCAAAUGUUGUGAUUUUUUUCCAAUGAUCAUUGAUAUUAGAAAAAUACUUUACCUCACAGCAGAAAAUAUAACUGAUAAAGAUCUUCUAUUUUUGGUUAAGAAAGAAUUCUGACUAAAGCUGAAGCAAUUACUUUCCAACAUUUAAUGGAAAUAAUCUUUUUUUAUAAUGAAAAUAAAAGCUGGUUGCUGUCCGAAUUGUGAAAGAUAUUUCGUGAAGGUGAAUUCUACAGUUGAAAAAUAAACGUAUCAGUGCACCCUGGUGGACAAACUGUAAUAAUGAGACAUUGUUUCCAAAUUACCUCAACUACAAGCCAUUUCUGUAAUUGAACUACUCGCAUAUGCCAAUACAGAUACAGUAUAUCUGUGAUAAAAUAAUUGACCUUUUCAGCAAUCCAUAUAUUUAAA